UGUUUUAUUUUCCUUUAAGAACCCCUUCCUUCAGACAUUGUGGUAGCUCACCUACCCUCCUGCAUCACAAAAGGUUUGCUGCCUGAGCAUCGAAGUGAGUCCUGGAGAGAGUGCCCAGGGUAUGGAACAGUCAGGAGGACCUGGCUGUUGCCUGGCAGAGUAAAGGAGAGAGGGUGUUCUCUCUGCCAGAGCGGGAGUGGACAGGGAAUCCCACCCCAUCAGGAAGGGAGUCGAUGUGGAAUCCGACCCCGUCAGGAAAUAGCGUUUCGCUUGGCUGGUUGUACAAGUCCAGGCGUGGACAAGUGUGCUUAGAGAUACUGGUGUCUUCUUUUUCUCUGUUGCUAUCUUGUUUUUGUUUGUGGUUUUUGUCAUGAGACACAGACACUGUACGUCAGAGGUAAAGUGAGAUCCCUCCCUGUCUGUAUGUCUGUGUGUCUGUGUGUCUUGUUCACUUGUGUGUCCAUCAUUGGACCACCUUCUGAUUCUGUUUUGUUUUUGGUUUGUCUGGUUUCAGGUCUGGUCUUGGUCCCAAGGAGUUGACUGAUUAUCUUGGUUUGGUUUUAGGCCGGUCUCAGGUUCUGGGGCCUUCCCAUGGAGACAGGUCCAUUUGGGUUGGUCAUAGUGACAGUAAGCUUCUCUGGAAAUCGCAUGUAAGAUGCCCUGUAUUGGUCUUGCUUGUGUUUGUCAUUUCUGUGGUACUGUGAUUCUAUAGUGGUUGCCUGAAAAACGGUUUCUGUGUGUGUCUUUUGUGUCUCUUUGUGUUCGGACUUGGACUAAUGACUGACGACUGUUUUUUAGUUAUGCCUUCUGAAAUAAGCCUAAGAAUCCUGUCAGAUCCCUAUGCUGACCACUUCCUUUCAGAUCCUCAGCUGCCCUGCCUCCCACUCCAACUCCAGAGAGCAGCCAGCGGGUCACAGUGGUCCCGCCCAUGGACCUGGAGCCUAGAGAGAAAUGAGCUCGGAAAUCCGGAGCAAAUGAGGAGUGGUCCCUGAAACGUCAGUGGCCCUGGAUGUCGUGACUGCUAAAGAGAAAAAGAGGAGGAGGCUGUGGGAGUGGCUGGCCAAGAGCUCAGCAGGUUUCCCUGAUUGCUUCUCAUUCCCCUGUCCCUUACAUCCCCGUCUCUUAUAAACAGAAAAACUGCUUUCACUUUGAGAUAUGAGUGGCCCGAUACAGCCAGCUGUGAGAGCUGCACUCCCUUCCCUGCCCCACGUGUUUUCUCUUCUCAGGCGACCCCUCCCUGAGCUGCUGACAGUGAGUCUGUUCCAAGCUCCAGUGAGGGAGGCAUCCGCCCACUUGGGGCUUCUGUCCAAGGGCUCACUGAUCACCCAGACCUGCUCACCUGUGAAACAUAACAAAGAGCCCUAGAAGGUGGAGAGGGAGGAGACAGUAGCUAAGGAUCCAGGUAUGUUGGAGGAUUGGUGAAGGGAUGGCAAGGGAUUCAAGUGAAUGUGGAAGUGGGACAUGAAGUCAGUUUUGCCACUUUCUGUUUCACUAGAAAUAAUUCUGGAGACUUCCACUGAGAAAAAUCUCACAAUUAUCCUAUUAAAGUUCUGAAGAAUAGGUAUGUAGAAAUGAAAGUUUCUAUAAAAGAAUUGAUAUGAGGAGGCAACAAAUUUCUACUUGACUGUGCAUCCAAAUGAUGCUGUCCUUAUUCGUGCACAUCACUCAACGUGUCUACAUACAAAUAUUAAAUGGUUUUCAUUUCAAUGAUCUUAAUGUAUUAUAAAAUGAUGAAAAUUGAUACCUUUCGGUAUAUUUAUUGUUUUCUGAAUUUUGGCACUUUUGUUAUUCUAGCAUGUAUUUUACCUUUAGUGUUAAUUUCUCCAUUCCUGAAAAUAAUGCCAACAGAGUUUUGAUAAGAUCUGGACCUAUAUUUGUAGACAGGUACACUCUCUCUAUCCUGUCAUCCCAGGGAUAUCUCCUAUUUUCUGUUGUCAUGACAAUUCCAAAUCUUUUCCAUUGCUGUAAUUGUAAUAUAAUGUGAGAUCACCUCUAGGUGUGAUCCUCUUCAUAUUUUCCGGCUCUGUGCUGUAUUUUUAAAAUUUAUAAAAUUGUGGAUUUUAAUAGGAAUUGGUUAGCCUCCUUUUAGGUUGUCUUAUGUUUGGAUAGUACAUGAGACAAUGGUCCAGUUUUCAUAUGUUUUAUGUUUUGCUCUGUUUUCUGUCUGCUGUCAAUGUCUGUGUUACAGGUUUAAUGAAAUGCACAUCUAGACCAAAUAAAUUUCUAUUUAAUGGACCAUU